CCACUUCAUUUGCAUCAUUACAAUAUCUGUACAAGCACAUCACAUUGUCUGUUGCUUGCACCUUUUGUUACGGUUGCUGUCACAGUCUACGCGACUUGACUUUCAUAUUUUUAAAUGAAUUGAUAUUAUACCAACAACACCCACUCGCAUCCCAGGCUCUGGGAAACCGGGCUCCGCUGCACCGGGCGCCCCAGCCCCGUCUCCUCCCGAGCCGGUCUCUUCUUCCAUCGGAUCCCAAGGAAGUCUUUCGGGCUGUGCACCUGCACGUAAGAGAGAGAUUGGCGGCGGAGAAGCUGGAAGAGGCGCCAGCAGAUGUUCCGCGGCGGGUCCUUGCUGUAGCUAGGAGAGAAACCCGUGAAAUACCUCGCAGACCGCUAGGAAAUUCGGCCAGAACGAAUGUUUUUGGAAACGUUCGCGCUCCCCAACCCCGGCUUGGCAAUCUUCACCUGCUGGGUAUUUUCCUGCCGGAAGACGCUGUCUCCAGCCGCGCCCUGGGAUCGCCCCUGCUCGGAACGACUCCGAAACGAGGGACCGUCGCCCAGGGGGGAAAACUACGGGAAAAGCGGGGUUUGAAGCCUGCAGAUUUUUCCCCAAACGGGGACAAACAGGGGUGUCCGCCCCGGGGACUCGGGGGGGCUGAGACCGGCGGAGGCGCGGAGCUGCCCGGCAGAGGCUGACGGCGCCGCUGCCCGCUCGCCAUCCGGGCUGUCCCGGGGCCAGGGCCACCCCCUCAGGUGCCACCAGAGCCAUUUGGGGCCGCAGGGGCGAGGGGUUGCGAUUUCCCCCUCAUGCCCGCUGGAAAAGAAGGAUGUUUUCCUCUGCUGUUUAGCUUUCGUACUAAAGAUGUCAUCUGAAAGUCUGGGAGGGAGAGCCGUGUGCUCCGCUCUCUUCCACGGUAACAACCAUAUUCUGCAUAUUGAAAAAUAUUAUAGACAGUGGAGAAGGCUUCUUUUUUUUUUUUUAUCCCCUUAAAAAGAAAAAAAAAAAAA